rnacentral:rRNA from 1 species
UCGGCAGGCUACACAUGCAAGUCGAGCGGAUGACGGGAGCUUGCUCCUUGAUUCAGCGGCGGACGGGUGAGUAAUGCCUAGGAAUCUGCCUGGUAGUGGGGGACAACGUUUCGAAAGGAACGCUAAUACCGCAUACGUCCUACGGGAGAAAGCAGGGGACCUUCGGGCCUUGCGCUAUCAGAUGAGCCUAGGUCGGAUUAGCUAGUUGGUGAGGUAAUGGCUCACCAAGGCGACGAUCCGUAACUGGUCUGAGAGGAUGAUCAGUCACACUGGAACUGAGACACGGUCCAGACUCCUACGGGAGGCAGCAGUGGGGAAUAUUGGACAAUGGGCGAAAGCCUGAUCCAGCCAUGCCGCGUGUGUGAAGAAGGUCUUCGGAUUGUAAAGCACUUUAAGUUGGGAGGAAGGGCAGUAAGUUAAUACCUUGCUGUUUUGACGUUACCGACAGAAUAAGCACCGGCUAACUCUGUGCCAGCAGCCGCGGUAAUACAGAGGGUGCAAGCGUUAAUCGGAAUUACUGGGCGUAAAGCGCGCGUAGGUGGUUCGUUAAGUUGGAUGUGAAAGCCCCGGGCUCAACCUGGGAACUGCAUCCAAAACUGGCGAGCUAGAGUACGGUAGAGGGUGGUGGAAUUUCCUGUGUAGCGGUGAAAUGCGUAGAUAUAGGAAGGAACACCAGUGGCGAAGGCGACCACCUGGACUGAUACUGACACUGAGGUGCGAAAUCUUGGGGAGCAAACAGGAUUAGAUACCCUGGUAGUCCACGCCGUAGACGAUGU